rnacentral:lncRNA from 1 species
CUUUUGCGUCAGUGAGAAUCAAAUGAUUCAACAGUGAAAAGCAAACUCUUGGACUGGAAUAGCAAGAUGACCCAUCUCUAAACAAAGCAAACUGACUAGGAUUCUCUCAUGCUUAACAUGCAUCUUACUGGUUCUUUAUGAAGAGCUUUCUCUUGGCUCACAGGCAGAAGGAAUUUUCCUUGUCUUGGAUGAGACUUUUGACUUGGACUUUUGGGUUAAGUUCUGGAGACCAGAAGGCCAAAAUCAAAAGUAUGGGCAGGCUUGAUUUCUUUAGAAGACUCCAGCGGAGAACUGUGUCUCCUUGCUUCUGAUUCUACAUCUCCAUCCAUGGGCCACUGUUUCAGCAACCUCAGCCAGUGCAACACAACCUCAGCCAAGAAGAGUAUGCAGAGAAAGGAGUCCCCUACCUGCCACAAAACUGUUGUCUGAAAACUGUCUCAUAUUGUCUCAAGUUGUCAUUCAUUGUGAAUUAGACCUGUUUAACAUGUAAUCUGCAACAUGCUUCACUGUCUAAUUUUCCAGAGCCCCUCAUAUAAGGAACUGUAUUAUUGGUAUAAUCAUCAUGGUGAAGAAGUUGGUAUGUGGGGGAGAGAUGACAGAAACAGAGAGUAAGUCAGAGCUGGCUGCCUGACAGAUAAAAAGGAAAUGACCAAAAAAAAAAAAAAAGACACAGAAGAAUACUUUGUUGUCCACACAGAAAAGGGAAGUGUAGGUAAGACAGCAGUAGACUAAGAUUCUUAAGACUCAAGUUCUAGUCUUAUUUAUUAGCUAUGGGAGGCCUUGAGGGAGUUCUAGAAUUAAGUGAUCUCUCUUUAUAAAAUAGGAACAGUAAUAACUUCCUGGCUAACUCCCUGGCUGUCUCACAAUGCUGUAGUAGUAAGAAAUAAUUUUAUAAUUAAAGACUAUUUUAGGGCUGAUUACAUUUUUGGGCAGUGGCUCAUACAUGUAAUUUCAACAUUUUGGGAGGCCAAGGUGGGCGGAUUGCUUGAGCCCAGGAAUUCAAGACCAGGCUGGGCAACACAGACCUUGUCACUACAAAAGAAAAAAACAUUAGCUAGGCGUGGUGAUGUAUGCCUGUGGUCCCAGCUACUCAGGAAGCUGAGACAGGAGGAUCACCUGAGCCUGGGAGGUCGAGGCUACAGUGAGCCAUGAUCACACUACUGCACUCCAGCCUGGGAAACAGAGUGAGACUCUGUCUCAAAAAAAAAAAAAAAGGAAUAUUUUACACUUCAAGGUUCUAUACAAAUGUAAAAUAUCAUUCUAUUACUUAUUUAUAAUGCUGAUUAUUCUUUAAAUGACUUUAAAAUGUUAAUCUCUGCUUGAGCCUACGGAGAAGUAUGUAACAAAUUUGUGAAGGAUUGGCAUUAAACAUAGUCAAAAUAAAACAUAGAAAUUAUGGUAAAUAAUUUAACUGGUAAAAUAAUCUAAGUGGUAGUUCUCAGGUAAGUGGAAAUUCGAUUAGCUGAUUGUUUAGGAUUCUUGGUUAUAAGUGACAGAGACCUGACUAAAAGUACAUGAAGCACAUAACUGAGAAGGUUGUGGUAUGGCUCAGCAGAAAUGGGAAAAUCUUGGGACUGGUUCGUGUUUUAUUUACAUUAUCUUUGUUCCCAGGCAGUCUCUGCAUGUAAGUGGCAAAGAUGACUGUCUGAAAAUAUAUACCUACUUUUUUAAAGGGCUAUCUCAAGCCAUUCUGGAGAAGCACCAAAAGCCACUUUGCUUAUACUGGGAGAAUAGUUUGCUUUCCCUAAUUUGUGAUGAGUGAAACACUGAACAGAGACAUAGAAUAAUAUUCUGUAGUUCAGGGUUGGUGUAAUAUGGCCAGUGGGCGGAAUCUGGUCCUCAGACUGAUUUUGCAAAUAAUCUUAUAGAAACACAGCAACACCCAUUCAUUACAUGUUGUUUAUGGUUGCUUUGGGGUUACAAUGGCAGAGUUGAGUAGUUGUGACAGAGAUCACUAGGCUCACCACAUCUGAGAUAUGUACUGACUGACCCUGUACAGAAAGUUUGCUGCUCUUAGAGGAAUGUGUGUUUCUAGUGUCAGCAAUAAACUUCUUGGAUUUGUUUUGUUUUCUCAUCUUUACAUGAUAGUUGCAGACUAGUUGAUCCUUGUGACCUGUUUUUGAAUGCCACUGUGUAUUCUGUCAGGGCCCUCUGAUUCUGUUUCUUAUGGUGCUGAAUGCACAAUUUAAUGCCCUGGAAUUUCCUUCUGUCUUCUGCUAAACUCAUGCCUCUUCAGAUAGUUAAAAUCCUGUUCUACCUUAGAAGUCUCCAGAGUUAUUUUCCUAAAUUAAGAAGAACUGGCUUUGAAGUUACUCAUUAUGCCACACACAAUGGUUGAAAAGAGCAUCUCUUAUGUACUGUGUAUAUUUCAGCAUCCACUCAGCUUCUUAGGUAGAAAAGGAAGAGUCUUCCACAGUGUAUUUUAUCCAUAUUUGGGUCAGAAACUCUUCUUUACCACGGAGCGUGAUGGAAGAAAGAUAUGGGAUGGUAACAGUAGGCCAGGGAUGUAAUAAUCACAAAAUUUGAGAUAUUUUGUGACUGGUGACUCACGCCUGUGAUCCCAGCAUUUUGGGAGGCCAAAGCGGGCGGAUCACCUGAGGUCAGGAGUUCAAGACCAGCUUGGCCAAUGUAGUGAAACCUCAUCUCUACUAAAAAAAUAUAAAAAUUAGCUGGGUGUGGUGGUGCACACCUGUAAUCCUAGCUACUCAGGAGGCUGAGGCAGGAGAAUAGCUUGAACCAAGGAGGUGGAGGUUGCAGUGAGCUGAGAUUGUGCCACCACUGCAUUCCAGUCUGGGUGACAGAGCGAGACUCUGUCUCAAAAAAAAAAAAAAAAAAAAUCUAGAAAAAGAUCUCCAAGAUUCAAUCAUCUAAUUAUUUCUUUUAAAAAUGAGAAAAAUGACUCCUGGUCAGCUUUUACCUUCUUUUUCCAACUGUCUUGACAAUACUUUCAUAUUGGGCUUUUAAAGUCUCAAGUAAUAGGUUUUUAAAACCUCAGCUGAUAAAAGUAUAAAAAUAAAGUUAAAACAUAUUAAAGACAAAACCCAAGAAUCAGCUUCCUCUUCCUUCAUUACUCUUGCAUGGGUGUUGGCUCUAAUUUCUCCAUCUAGUUAGGCAGUCCUUUGCUUUUUAUUGCUUGUUUAUUGAUGACAUUUGCCAUUUGUAGCAAUAGUAAUAGAAUCAUCUAUAUAUUUGUGGCCUUGUUGAAUGUAGAAAAAGGAUAGUGGCAUUUUCUAAUUGUGUAACCCUAUAACACCUUGACGGGGGACUACAGUUCAUAUGCUGGACCUUUUGUGUUUGUUCAUGGCGGGUGGGUUGCUUUAAUAUACUUAGCACAUUGUCCUAAUUGCCAUCCUUUUGGGGAGGGCUAUAUAUCCAAGCUAAUAUGGUAGCAUUUUUGUUUUAACAUAGAGCUGACCCAAGGUAGACGUAAGUGUUGUUCAUUUUUGCCUAAUACUAAUAAAAUUACCUAAUUGUUGAAGCUUGGAGCUUGAAUCUAGGCAUUUUAUUUCAUUUCAAGUACACCCUAGUAUUUUAAAGCAUAAAUAUCCUACUAUCCUCAACAACUUUAGAACAAAAAUAAAUAUUUUAACAAGAAAAAAGCAUGCCAUGACAAGCUGUAACUUAGUAAAGAAAGACAAGGAAUGGUCUCUAUAGACCGAGAAAAAAUAGGUCCUCAGAUAUAUUUAUACCAAAGGAAUGUUAUGAAUGUAAAAAACAGUUUGACUCCCCCCCCCCCGCCAAAAAAAAACUCCACAACCCUAUAUUUUGUUAUCACAAGACUGUUUUAGUGAAUAAAACAGUAUGAAUUGGUUUUACCUGUUUCCAUUUAAUACUUAUUAACUUUAUAAUCGUAUAGCCUGAGGGUUUUAACUUCAAGUACAGCAUGAUGACUAUAAUAGUUUUACACAAGGCAAAUGUGAAAAACAGAAGUAAUUUCUUUUAAAAAGUGUGAAAUAUCUAAAAGGUAUGACUUCAAUACAUCAACUCAGGUGAGACAGACAUGUAACUUCUUUUUCCAUGUUUAAACCUAAUAUUGCUUUUGUGCCUCUGAAGGCUCGGAGUUUCCAUGCCUUCUUAGGACAUGCCACCCUCUCCACACCUGGAUGUGUUCACCAACCCAGAAGCUCUUGGAACCCCAUCAUUUGGGGUUUUUAUGGAGUCCCCAUUAAGUAGGUAUGACUGAUUAAAUCACUGGCCAUUGGUGGUUGACUCAAUCUCCAGCCUCUCUUCCCUCUCUGAAGGUGAAGGGGUGGGAAGGUGAGGCUAAGUUCCAACCCUCGGAUCACAGGGUUGGUUCCUCUGCAACCAGGCUUCAUCGUGAAACAAUACAGGGCCCACCGAGAGUCACCCCAUUAGCAAACUCAGAUGUGAUUGAAAGGGGCUUAUUAUGAAUAUCAAAAGACAUUUCUCUUUCUCCUAUUACUCAGACAGUUACAAGGGUUUCAGAAGCUCUUGCACCAGGAACUGGGAACAAAGACCAAAUAUAUAUGUCUUCUUCUAUUACAAUGUCACAGGUGUGACAGAGUAGGUAAAUGGAGUCUCAGAGAGUCCCCAGAGUAUUCCAUGGAGCCACAAAAUGAAGAAUAAAUGGAUGGUUCUCCCCAUGAUCAAAAGUGGCCUGAAAAUACUUGAGAAUGAGUCAUAACUUAAAAGGCUGUAUAGUAGAAAAGAAUGCACAGAGGACCGAAUGUAAAAGAAGGCACCCCAGUCUCAGCUAGUGUGGAUGCAUGCCAGUGUAGAAAGAUGCUAGUGUGGCUACAUUGGUGCACUGAAGACCAAACUCCUGCAUGGCCCCACAUCCUUGAUACCUUAGAUCUAUAUCAUCCCCUAAAACUUAGGUGUUAUGACAUUCAGGAUAUGCUACCCCAUCAUUUUUUAGGCUGAAGGAAUUUGAGAAAACAGAAGCAGGAAUGUAAUUGCCCAGUGGGUUCUUCCUGCCCUGUGCACAGACAAAACCAGUUCACUGAGACCAUGGUAUUGCAGUUAAGAAAGAGUUUAACAGGAGGCUGGCCACAUGGAAGAAUUACAGUUAUUACAAAUUAGUCUCCCUGAAGGCUCAGAGGUCAGGGUUUUUCAUGGAUAGUUCGGUGAGCAGUGGAUUAGGGGUAAGUGCUGCUGAUUGGUUGGGGAUACAAUCAUAGGGGUGUGGAAAAUGGUCCUUGUGUGCUGAGUCACCUCUGGGUGGGAGGCCAUGGGACCCAUUGAGUCAUGAGUCACGAGGCUGGGUUGGGUCAGUGUGAAAAACAUCUCAAAAGACCAAUCUUAGGUUCAAAAUAGGUGAUAUUACCUGUAGGAGCAAUUGGGAAAGUUAUAAAUUAUAUGACCUCUUGGCCCCAUGACUUCUGAGCAGUAAGAGAUGAUAGAAACUAAACCUACAUUUUAUCAGCACUCAGGCCUCUUCCAUAAUCCUAAUCUUGUGGCCUUUCGUUAGUCUUAUAAAGGUGGUUUGGUAACUGCCCUCAAGCAAGGAGGGGAUCAGUUUUAGGGAGGUGCUAUUAUCAUCCUUGCUUCAAAGUUAAGCUGUAAACUAAAUUCCUCCCAUAAUUAGCUUGGCCUACACCCAGAAAUGAGCAAAGACAGCCAGCCUGUGAUGUUAGAAGCAAGAUGGAGUUAGUCAUGUUAGAUUUCUCUCACUGUCAUAAUCUUUGCAAGGGAGGUUCCAGGAAGGUCAUCCUACCUUUCCCCUCACCCUUCUCAUGUGACACAGGUCAUAAAGCCUAGGAAGGAUUUUCCGACCUUUCCCUGAAGCAGGUCGUAAGACCCUCAUUGGGGAGGUGCCAUUUCUAGACCAAGAGAAAAGGCACAUCCUUAUGUCUGAAGACACAGGGACACAGAGAAGAAUCUGAACAAACAGGUCUUGCUAAGUUCCCCCCAGUUUGUUUUCAUUAGAUCAUGCCCCUUUAUUCAAUGCUGUUUCUCCACAACUAUCCAUUUCUUCAUCAAGCCUAGCAUAAAAAAUACAGGUUUCACGGUUUCUUUGGGUCUUCAUUUCCUUAUAAAGUCUCCUGUACCAUGUAAAACUUAAAUAAGUUUCUCUGCUUUUCUCUUGUUGAUUCUGUCCUUUGUUUUAUAACCCUCAGACAUGAACCUAGUGAUGAGUGAGGGGAAGAUAAUUUAUUUUCCUCUACAGAUGCAAAAGGGAAAAGGGAACAAUCCCUAAACGGAAGUUAUGAUCCAGGGAUCAGAGGCUCAAAAGCAAGAUUAGGUUUAAAUGUAGAAAAAUACAUUCCUCUUUCAUUUUAGAUAUCCCAAAUGCCCAAAUCAACCCAGCUAUUUCUCAGAAGUCUGUUUCCCCUCCACCCUCUGCUCCUCUGUGUAGUGAAACUGUCUCGUUUGGGAGUAAAAUGGCCUGGCUUUCCUUACUGAGUAUACUCUCAAGACUAUUGCCUAUUACUUUUUUCCAUUCCUUCUUGAGAACUACGCUUUUUAAAACAAGAAUUGACUCCAUUUAUCUUUUUCUUUUAGCCUUCUGCUGGGGUAUGCCUUCUCUAAAGCAAUGAAUAAAAAAUGCUUUAGCUGAAUAAAUGGGGCAAGGAUCAAGGAGUACAAGCUAAUAUUUCACAAUAUUAUCCUGCCAUAAAUAAAAGUAUGGUUUAAAUGACAAUGGUGGGGUUAGGAGUUACAGGUCACUGAAACACCACCUUAUUCAUGCUACCAGCCCCUUGGCUUUCCUGAUGGCAGCAGGGAAGCAACACAUAGGUAGAAUUAUGAGCCAACAUCGUGACUGGAGAGGGAUUGAAAAUCUUAUUUGUUGUCUUCCUAGACUAUUACAGUUAUCUGUUGAAAUUAGACUCAAUUCUUUGGCGAAAGUACUCAUUUUUAAGGUCCAUAAUAAAUUGUAACUAUGUAGCCUUUGUUGCAUGAGUUUAGUAUGAGCUGAUUGGUGGGCCACAGUGAAAGGCAGAGGGAAAUGGAUGUUAACUAAGAGGUAGAAGUCCCCUUGAAGUUCUGACCCUGUCACUAAUGAAGUCUUUAUUUCCGUAUUUAGUAAUUGCCUUUUUUUUUUUUUUUUGAGACAGAGUCUUGCUCUGUCGCCAGGAUGGGGUACAGUGGCACAGUAUCUGCUCACUGCAACCUCCGCCUCCCAGGUUCAAGCAGUUCCCCUGCCUCAGCUUCCUGAAUAGCUGGGACUACAGGUGUCUGCCGCCAUGCCUGGCUAAUUUUUGUAUUUUUAGUAGAGACGGGGUUUCACUAUGUUGGCCAGGAUGGUCUCGAUCUCCUGACCUCGUGAUCUGCCCACCUCAGCCUCCCAAAGCUAGGAUUACAGACGUGAGCCACCAUGCCCGGCCAACUGCCUUCUUUAUAUCUCAUUUUAAAAAUUUAUAACAAAGAAGUGGGUUGAUUUUCAAGACCUAGUUGUGUUAGUUUGAAUGAGAUGCAUACAUUUGGCAAGUCUGGGGUCUAAGAAAAGAUAAAGAUCUGAAUGCUGAAAAUCUAGAGAAUUCAGGUUACUGGGGGAUAACUUAAAGUCACUAGGGAAUUCGGGUUACUGGGGGGAUAACUUAAGGUCACUAGGGAAUUCGGGUUACUGGGGGGAUAACUUAAGGUCACUAGAACCCAAAUGCAGGGAAGAGUUGGGUGCUCUUUGGCAAAUAAACAUUCCUGACUUAGCAUUUUUCUUAAACCCGAACGUGCCAGCUGUUUUUUUGUUUUUUUGUUUUUUUGUUUUGUGACCUCAGCCAGGCUUGCGUGUUUAUUCAUCACAUAUUCUAAGCUCAUAUACAACUGUGACCUGAUCCAGCCUUCAAGGAACUCACUCUUGAUUUUAGGAAUCUUUCCACCACUUCGAUUUCAUCUUACUCCUGAAACAGUCAGCCAGAACUGUCUAAUUCAGUCUAUACUUCUGAUACAAAACUCUACCCAGCAACCACUAUGGUUUUGUUGCUUUAGGUACGUGUUAGAAAGCACCCACAUCAAUUUACAGAAAAUCCUUAACUGAAUCUCUAGUCCCAGAGGAGUCAUAUUUUAUUAUAUGGUGCUUUUUAUUUAAAGAGAUCGGUUUAAUAGAAAUUACUCAGGCAUUUGAAGUGAUAGCUUUAAAAUGUGGGACUGGGGAAAAUAAGAACACUUGACCUCUCUCCAUAAAAUUGAAUUGUUCUUUAGGUUUAAAGUUUUGACAGACAAAGAGAAAGUGAGAGCAAGUGAGGGUGAAAAUAUAUCCUUAUUUGGUAAUGAGUACCCAUUAAGAGGACAGUAUAUUACAUUUCAUCUUCUUACUUCACAUUCCUGUUUUAAGGAUUUGUGAGCAAAGUGCUGUGAGACCUCUAGAGUUAAGAGGCUGGAGAUAGGUAGUUUUGAUGGUAUUUUAAGGAGUGCUCCAUAAUGUGUAGUGUCUGAGUGCUGAAGCUUAAUCAGCUUCAAUUAAAUCCAAAACAUACUGAAUAGCUCCUAUGUGUCUGGCAUUGAGCUGUGUGCCAAAGUGGUGGAAAGAUGUAAGAGCCACUGAGGCUUAGAGAUGAAAAGGAUCUUGGAGCCACUGGUUUCCUGCCUGCUGGAGUUUCACCAUCAAGGACCCUUUCGUUAUUUUCCUUCUCCCAUGCAUUUUAUUAAAAUUUUUGGUUUAGUAAACCAAAUUCACUAAUGGGAUGUUAUUUUCAUAUCAAAGAGUAUAAUUCUGCCAAUCAAGGCUUCUGAUCAGCAUAAAAUAAUUAGGUUUCAUACUGAAUGCACAAAUUCUAGUCAAAAGCAAAGCCAUUUGAUGACAUGUCUGCUAUGUUGCCAUUUGCUUUAAGAGAGGUAAAGGUAGCCUGACUUCUGUUCACUCUGUAGUACAGAAUACAUUGUUAACAAGUCAUAGGUAUGUUCUUUUAGGUUUCUAAUUACUGUCAGCCUCUCAUUUCAGACAGGUGAUGUGAUAAGGUGAAAUGAUUACUAUAUUUAGACUCAAAAGUCCUGAGUUUGAGUCCUCGUUUAACGAUCUAGUCCAUGAGCUUCAGUUUUCUCACCUGUUAAAUGGAAAUGAUGAUUAUUUCCUGGAAAUUGCAUUUCCAGGUUGUUUUGAAUGAUAAAUGAUAUGGUGUAUAUAUCAGCUGUUUGCAAACCAGAAAAAGCUAUUCUAUGGUAAACACAUGCAGUGGGCUGAAUUGUGUCUCCCAAAAUUCAUAUGUUGAAGUCCUCACCCCCAGGGCCUCAGAAUGUGACUGUAUUUGGAUCUAGGGUCUUCAAGAGAUAACUAAGUUAGAAUGAGGUCAUUUGGGUUGAUCCUAAUCCAACUGACUGAUAUCCUUAUAAGACGACGAAAUUUGGAUACAGAAAUACACAGAAGACAGGGAGAAGAUGGCCAUCUACAAGCUAAGGAGAGAGGCCUCAGAAGAAACACACCUGCCACACCUUGAAUUUGGACUUCUAGCCAUCAGAACUGUGGGAAAAUAAAUUUCUGUUGUUUAAGCCAGGAGUCCUCAACCCCCGGGCUGUGGACCUGUACCAGUCGGUGGCAUGUUAAGGACUGGGCUCCACAGCAGGAGGUGAGUGGUGGGCGAGUGAGCAUUACUGCCUGAGCUCCACCUCCCGUCAGAUCAGCAGUGGCAUUAGAUUCUCAUAGGAGCACAAACCCUAUUGUAAACUGAGCACGCAAGGGAUCUAGGUUGUGCGCUCCUUACGAGAAUCUAAUGCCUGAUAAUCUGAGAUUGAACAGUUUUAUCCCCAAACCAUCCCCUCCACCACCCCCGUGGUCUGUGGAAAAAUUGUCUUCCACAAAACUGGUCCCUGGUGCCGAAAAGGUUAGGGACCAGCGGCUCAAGCCACCCAGCCUGUGGUACUUUGUUACGGUAGCCCUGGCAAAUGAAUACAACACGUUUUAGACUAUGAUGUUACACAUGCAGUGUGUUGAGAGCCAAAGAACCCAAAUGAUUCGUGGUAUCUGCCCUUGAAGAGUUUUUAAUCUUUUUGGGCAUGAUGAAACAUACACAUGGAAAAUAAAAUAGCAUAUAACCAAGUGCCCAAAUCAGUAAUAAAUACAGUUGACUCCAUAAACAUUUAGGAACCUUCUAUCCCAUGUUUCCACAUUCUAUCCCAGUGGCUUUUGCCACUAAAUUUCUUCACCCACUAUUAGACUGAUGUUUUCAUCUUUCAGUAUCAGACUCAAGCUUUAAUCUAGAAAGAGGGGGUGGGGGGAUAAAUGCUAUACUUUGGAACCAGUCCGGAUAUUUUAAGUAUGUUUUUAAAAAGUAUAAUCCUCACAACAUGAAAGUUAUUAGUUCUAUUUUUCAGGUGAGAAGAGUUAAGGUCAAACAGACGAAAGCUAGUUAGUGGAGGGACUGGUAUUCCAAGCCCAUUCUGGUUAAACUAAAUCUUGUGUUCUUUCCACUAGAAAACUGCUUUUUGUCUUAAUUAUAAUUUUGUGACAAGGAUGUAUAGUCCAUUAAGGAAUAUAUACAACAGAAGAAGCAUUUAAGUGGACUUGAGGUUUGUGAAUCUGAACUAGUUUCUAUCGACUUUCACAUCAGCAGCUCCUAUUCUGGGGAAAGAGAAUGGAGGCUGGGAGUGAUCCUGACAAACCUUGAUGUGCAGGCUUGUGGAGAAACUGGAUUCACACCCAGGCUCGUGGAGUGUGGGAGAGGCUGGCCUGUCACAAUAUCAGGACAGCCUCUCUUAAUAACACUGCAGAAGGAAUCGAGGGCCCUGUGGUUUGCGGUCAGUGUGCCUCUUGUGCCAACUUUGGCACUACAAUGUCUUCAAUCACAUUAUCUUCCAAACCGGCUCUUCAUCCUAUGUCCUUAUUUCUGCUAAUGGUAUUCAUUUCUCUUAUUCAUGGACUCUGGGAAUCUUGGUGGUAUUAAAACCUGUCUCUUCUUUCCCCCUCGAUCUUCCACAUUCCAUUUCCUUUCAGCAGAAUCCCAAGCCUUCACCAUUUUUCAUUUUUGGUGCUGUUUCAGAGUUGCUGUGAACUUUACCUGGGUCCUCUAUCACCUUACCCAGCCAUUUGUCAUUCUGCCUGGUAAAGGGUUGAGCAGAUUUAUCUAUAUGAAUGAUCUUAUUUAAGCUAUUCUGUACACCUUCUGCUACUUAAACAGGCUCUAUGCUUCCACAUCUGCUCUCUAUCUGCCUAUGUGACUCAAACUUCAAUUGUCCAUCUCAGACAUCACAUCCUCCAUGAAGCCCUCUUGGGUUAUUUGAAGUAAUCUCUCUUCUGGGCUCUCAUAGCAUUACUGCUUGUAACUCUUUCAAAAGAUGAAUUUUGUGCUGUUGUUUACUUAAUGAGUACAAAUUUAGUGAUAAAUUUGAAAAACUUGUGUCCAUGUUUGAUAAAUAUGAAAAUCUCAUCAUUUUCAAUAUUUCUUAGAAUUUCAAAAUGUACUAAAUAUUAUUAAAAACCAAUCAUGGCAAUUUUAACAUUGAGUAUUCUUUUUUGAAAUAUGAAUGCUCCUCUCUCAAGACUGGUAUACUUUCUCACUCUACUCCCUUUUCAAGUGCCCUUAUCGAACUUUGCUGAUGAAAUCAUCUUUUCUUAGUUUGUUAGACUUUGGAUGGUGGAGACCUGUGCCUGCUACUUCUCUCAUCUCCUGAUACCUAAUGCAUAGUGUUCAGUAAGUAUUUAUUUGGUGAUAACAAUAUCAAAAACUAGAUAAUGCUUAGAAGAUCCAACACCUUCCAAAAUCUCUGUUAACCAGGUACUGAAAUAUGGUCAACCAGAUGAGCUGAAAUGUCAAGAACUUAUAGACACACAUGGUUUCAUGGUUGUGAAACUAGAAGAUGUGGCAUAUUUUACACAAUGGAGGGAAGAGCAAAGGUUAUGCAUGUGCGGAGGCAGAGCCCCUAGGCAGGUUUCCCUCUUUUCCUUCCUGUGCACUGAUUUUUAUUUUGGUGAACUGAAACAGGGGUCUAACAAACUGGUAUCUCAUUUGUCUUUAUAAACAGAACUGCCAGAUUGGCUUUGCAAUUCAGGGCCCUGUAGGGUGCCCACCUCCUCAGUUUGGGCAGCAGCAUUACAUCUGAGUCUUAGAAUAAAAAUGGAAAGCAAUGGCUCAACCCAUUGGUUUGUCACCAUCCACAUGAAGGAUCUCUAUUGGUAAAAAAACAGACUCCCGUGUUCAAGGCCCUGGGGCUGGAAUCAAAUCCAUCAUUCAUUUAUUUCGGUUUUUUAAGGCUAAAUACAUAGGGAAGAAAAUGAAAUGUGAGAAAGCUGUGCAUUUUCAAUGUCAUCUUGAAAGUGAGUAUCUUUAGACACAUAAAGUAGAUGAGUGGUUAACUUGGGCUGGGAGAGGGAGUGAGGAGUGGUUGUACAUGGCACAAGGUUUCUAUUUAGUGUGAUUGAAAUGUUCUAUAAUUUGAUUGAUGAUUGUACAGUUCUGUAAAUAAACUAAAAUGUAUUGAAUUGUAUAAUUAAAACAUGCAGAUUUUAUAUUUAAAAUAUACUUUGAUAAAAGUGUUUUAAAAAUGAAUAUCUCAUAGGGUAGAAUGAAAUGAAUAAGAGAAACAGUGAGGCAUCCAGGGGACUUUCUGCACAGUGGGUCUGUCAUUAGGCAGGUACGUUGCCACAGCCAGUUCUAAUGCCCACUCAUAGGCCAAUGCCUAGGACAAUUGCUCAGAUAUCGCCUCUGACAGGCAAGUGUUCCAUCAGUAACAGCAGGCAUCGGAAGAUGAUGCCAUUCCCUGCUGUUAGUAUGAUUAUAUUGACUUAGGUUUUUAAUUUUCUUUCUUGCUGUGUUUUUUUUUUUUCACCUUCUUAGCCUCUAAAGCAUGAACAUCUGUGUUUUUCAGCUGCCUUUUCAGAAGGCAAUAAAAAGGGUUUGUUCGAUUUCUCUCUUCUGGAUCUUCUGGAUUAUCAGCGCUCCUUACUGGCUUAACCAAACACAAACAUGAAACAACUUGGAAAGGAUCACAAAAUAAAAGAUUGCAGUGUGUCUGCUGUGGACUGAACCGUAUCCUCCCUCAACCCCCAAAUUCAUACAUUGAAGCCCUAACCCCCAAUGUGAUUGUAUCUGGAGAUAGGGUCUUCAGGAGAUAAUUAAACUCAAAUGAGUUCUUAAGGGUGAGGCCCUAAUCCAAUAGGACUGUGACCUUAUAAGGAGAAGAAAAGAGAUCAUCCCCCUCCCACCACCACUGUGGGAGGACACAGCAAGAAGGCAGAGAGCCCUACGGAACCUAGCGGACAGCUAUACAUUGAUCUUGGACUUGCCUACUUCCAGAACUUUGAAAUAUAAAUUGUUGUGUAAGACACCCAGUCUGUGGUAUUUUAUGAUGGCAGCCCAAGUGAGUACAGUGUCCUUCCAGAAAAAGAACUAUGUCCCUAAGUUGAGGGUAUUCACUUCUCCAUAAUAAUAGAUGCUCUGAAACAUUCAUGCCAGUUUGCUCCUGUUGCAGAAAUAAGGACAGGAUUGUUUUCUUUUUGUUUUGUAAUGCCUCCCCAACUAAUUUCCCUUAGGCUCUUCUCAUUCAUAUAAUCUCUCAAGCCAGACUGGGUAGAGUCAUCCUUGUCUCUGUAUAUGUCAUCCAAGUUAUCUUUUCUCUAUACCUCAGUCAGUCACUAGAUGUGAUUUGAUUUUACUUCCUAUAUGAUCCUUUUAUCUGUUCUCUCAUCUCAUUUUUUAUCCCCCAUGCUUUUGUUCAUUUCAACAUCAUCUCUCAUAUGAGUUAUUAUAAUUACCUCCAAAAUCUACUUUGGUGAUACCUUUGCCUGUCAAUAACUUCCGGUUACCUCCAGAAAUACAACCUACUUCAAUGUCUCUCAUGCUCUGUAUUAGUCCGUUUUCACACUGCUAUGAAGAACUGCCUGAGACUGAGUAAUGUAUAAAGAAAAGAGGUUUAAUUGACUCACAGUUUUGCUUGGCUGGGGAGACCUCAGGAAACUUACAAUCAUGGUGGAAGGGGCAGCAGGCACGUCUUACAUGGCAGCAGGUGAGAGAGAGGGGAUGUGUGGGGGAACCACCACUUAUAAAACCAUCAGAUCUCAUGAGAACUCACUCACUAUCACAAGAAAAGCAUGGGGGAAACAGCCUCCAUGAUCCAAUCACCUCUCACCCGGUCCCUCCCCUGACAUGUGGGGAUUACAAUUCAGAUUACAAUUCAAGAUGAGAUUGGGGUGGGGACACAGCCAAAUCAUAUCACAUUCCAAUCCCUUGCUAUGUCUUCAGACCUAAUUCUACUCAUUGCUCUUAUAUUAAUCUCCAUUACUGCUGUACUUCUUGCAGGAUAUGAGCAUAGCAUAUGGCUUCAUUCCUAUGUGUCUUUGACAGGUCUUUUUUCUUCCUGAAAUGUCUUCACUCCUGUAUGUCCUCAUCCAUUUUUCUGUACAGCUUAAGUGGUAUUUAUGGCCAGGGUGAAUUUAUAUUUUAAACUGGGAUACUUUUGAGAGUAAAAGUAAGCACUUGUUAAUUAUUACUCCAGAACCACAGAUGUAAACUGAAAUUAUUUUAGGUAAAUAGUAACAAAUGUUAUCCUAAUCUCAGCUAAAAUUUUAUACUCUGCCUACUUUAGAAAUCUAUAACACAAUCAGUAACACAUCAUAACUCCCCUUUUGUUUCGACAUGGUCAUGGUCAUUUGCAAAUAGCAGCUGAGAGGCUGACAAGCUGUGCAGAACUCUAGCAGACUUACAGGGCUGAGGAGAUUAAAAUUAAAUUUCUGGGACUUCCAAUAUAAAGGGACCUGGAAAGACCCCAGGUUUUUGUCUGGAGCCUCAAAAAAGUUGCACAAUAGAAAGAGAAGUGAAAAGAAAAUAGAAGAGCAUCUAUAACAACUCCAACCCAGAUUCAAACAGCAAAAUACCCCAUCAAACGAAAGUGAUUUGCUUUAACUUAAUUGAAUAUCUGAAGCAAAAUUAAACCCAAAUCUCAGAAAAUAUCAUCUGGAGCCUCAAAUUAUCUCUCCAGUUUGUUUUUAUUACAAUGCCUUGCAUGUAAUAAAAAAUAAUUAGGCACACCAGAGGACUAAAUAGAUUGAACACAAAUAAGGAGAAAUAAUAAAAAAUAAUAAAAGUAAUCCCACAAGUCAUCCAGAUAUUGCAGUUAUCAGAUGUGGACUGAUUAACAUGUUUAAGAAAUUAUGUGCUAAAAUGAAGGAUAAUAGCAAACAACUGAAAAAUAUUAAAAAACUGAAAUCAAGAUCAGAAUAUAGGGGUUUAAUAGCCAAUUAGACAUAGCUUAACAGACAACUGGGAUUAUAGGUCUGUUUCUGUUCCUUUUCUCUGAAAGUAAAA